CAUCUCGAGCACCAUUGCCUCUGCCAUCCUCUUGGCUUAGCCAACCACAUCUCUCGGACUUCCAGUUGCCUCGAUGGAAUCCAUGUCCACGGUCCACCUCUUCCAUGGGUGGAUACUACCUCGGGAACUCACGUCCACAUAUUCCUCCAGGUCCUUCUUCACCAAACACACGAUCGAUACCUACUCCUCAUCCACCAAAACACUUGUCACCCGCUACUCACACAAGCGCAAUGACUCGCCUUCUCACGGCACCAUGGUCCCUCAAGCAUGUCCACUACACGCUCCACCUCGAUGUGGCCAGGUGUGUCGACCUCCCUUGACUCCACACAUCUUCCUGUUCCUCUUCGAGCGACGCUGCCUACUCCUCUUAGGCCUUGGCAUAAACAAAUCUUCUCUCACACACCGGACCACCACUUCAUCAUCAUGCUUCGCCUACACACAAGGCUCCAUGGGCAACUCCUUAACACAAAGGCCAGAAAGCAUUGCUGCUUUCACCUCCUCUCUCGCCAUACACCAUAGCAGGCUUGGAGUUCUCGGCCUUUAACUAGCUCUCAGUCUUCUCGACUCAAUGCCCAACCGAUGAGCCUCUUCCAACCAGAGGAAGUUAUGUGAAGCACCUGUGUCCAUCAAAGCACGAAUAUACACCUUUCAUGCUUUAAGUCUAUGAACAAUUGACUCUUUCUCGCUUCUUUGAUGGGUCGGCCUACUCCUCCUUAGUAGUCGCUAAAUGAAGAUCUAAAACUGAUUCAUGGACUCCACCAAUGCAACUCACACCUUCAUCCUCCACAAGAGCAGAGUGCUUGUUUCUCUUCGAGCAAUUCCUGGCUCUAUGUGGACCUUCACACAAGAAGCAUUUGAUGGAUAGAAAAAAUAUCUCCCUUCUCUUUCCUCUUCUUCUCACUCAUGAAGUCAUCCUUGCCUUUAUCAACCUUCAAUCUCUCUUGGCUAAAGAGAUUGUUGUGAACUCCACACCUCUCAAUCUCCAUAUGCACCCAAGACUACAAACCAUUCAUAAAGCAAAUAAAGCUUCUCCAUCAAGAUAGCUAGGGAUUUCGAGAAGUACAUCAGAAAAUUCCUCCACACACUCACGAAUGCUACCUGUCCGAGUGAGUCGCCUCAACCUCACCCUUGCCCCAUGAGCAGAAUUCUCAGGAUAAGAUUGCUCCUUCAACUCCCUCUUAAAAUCAUCACACGCGGCAAUGGUGCAGAAUCCCUUCUCAACAUCGGCAUAACUUCUCCUCCACCAAACCAUGACAACAUCAGCCAAGAUCAUGGAAGCACGGUCAACCCUUGAAGCAUCGUCCACAAUUUCCUUGUGCCCCUGUCUUCCCCAACAAGGUCACUCGGUCCAUGGCUUUGCUCACCCUUGCAAGCACUGGUCCAGCUCCUCUCGCAAGACUCAACUUUCUCCCUUCACCGUGGCAAGCUCCUCUUCCAAACUAUGAUGGUCAUCUCGUUACCACUAGCUAGCUCAUCAAUGGCAGCGUUCAAAGAUUCUCAACGCACUAUACAACAAGAUCCUGAGCCGUGAGCGGCUGAGAUCACUCAUCAUCUCACCCGGGUGCUACCGGCCCGUAUGUGAAAUGCUAUUUCAAGUGCGGGCUUGGUCACUUUCUUAUUUGCCAGGCGUGGAAAUCCAUUAUAUAAUGGAGUGGAAUCAAUAAAAAGAUGUGUGGAAGCAAUACAACAAGACAACUACCACCCUUUUUCCCUCCACUACGCACUACACAACAAGAUCCUCAACGCGAGGGAAAACCAGUUUUAUGCUUUGCGAGGAUUCGCACACAACUCCUUCGUCUCUCUCUCGCGCUCUGUACUGAACUCCACAAUCAUACCUCGAAACUCUGCUUUGAUGCUUGCAAGUCGAAACAUGUAGCGCGUUUUGUUUUUCUGUACCUGAGCAGCUAAACAUAGAAACGUAGAGUUUUGUCUGUCUUGCUGCUGAAUGUCCAUCCGAGUUGCUGUGCAGUUGUGCCGUUUUGGAUUAAGGUAAUAUUAAAUUUUUUAUUCAUGAUGUAAAGCAUAGAAGAAUUCGGAGCUAGAUGGGUAAUUGUUAGGGGAGGGGCCGCUCAAGAAAAAGAAGGCAAAAGCCAGGCGAUAAUGUUGUGCACACUGAAGAUUUCCUUGGAGGAGUUGUACGUUGUGUACCAAAUGUAAAGGCCUGAUUAAGUUACUGGAGAUCACCUCAAGUUUCAGUGGAAUCUUGAUGAUGCAAUUGCGGAGUGCAUCCUUUUAAAGGAGGCUCUCUAUGGAUUUCAGUUUAUCCUGACUCAACUUGAUGGCAAGCAACUUCUGAUCAAACCAAAUCCAUGCCGAGUCAAGCACUCGGGAGCUUCAAUAGGUUUAUCUUGUGUUGAAUUUCAUUCUUCAUAAUGUUGUUCGCUUCAGUUUGUUUGAAUGCAGGUCGAUACAAGCAAUCAAUGGUGAGGGAAUGAAAGACAAGCUUUCCCCAGAUGAACAGUGCCAUACUCUAUAGAGGCCAUUUUCCUCGAGUUCAAGAAAGCACUUGUCUGACAUGGAUCUUGUUGAGUGUGAAGAGACAAUUUUGCAAUGAUGUCAAUAUGGCAGAGGAGGAGAAGAGGUGAAAACAGCAGCAGCAGUGAUACGAGGCAUAUGAUGAAGAUGAUGAGCCAUCAUCAGGUGUAUAAUGUGUUAAGCAGUAAGCGAAAAAAUGGCUUCUAAAUUGCUAGCUGCAUCUGCUAAUUACCUUCCUUUUACAUCGUCCUUUUGGAUUGACGUAUAGUCUACUGGUUAUGUUAUUAUAUCCUUAGUUCAUGGUUGUCCCAUGUGAGUCUAUCAUUGUCAAUGGUAAGUAUGUAGCCGUAGUUGUAUGGAAUAAUUUCUUGUAUUUUAGAGUGUCUCAAGUGAUUUUCUCUGUCAUCUUCAUUUGCCAUUAAUAUAGGUGCAGUCCUAAUGAAGUGUUUUCUUUUCUGUGUAUUGGCAAUGGGCUUGAAUUUGUCGCAGCCUAAUGAGAUGCUUUAAACUCAUUGUUA